AGAAUCAACGCUGGCGGCGUGCCUAACACAUGCAAGUCGAACGAGAAAGGGUAGCAAUACCUGAGUAAAGUGGCGCACGGGUGAGUAACACGUGACUAACCUACCCUGGAGUGGGGGGAUAACUGAGGGAAACCUUAGCUAAUACCGCAUAAUACCUACGGGUCAAAGGAGCAAUUCGCUUCAGGAGGGGGUCGCGGCCGAUUAGUUAGUUGGCGGGGUAAUGGCCCACCAAGACGAUGAUCGGUAU
rnacentral:rRNA from 1 species